GUUUUUUUUGCCGCAACGGUAGCGCGCCUGACUCCAGAUCAGGAGGUUGCGUGUUCAAAUCACUUCGAGAUCA
rnacentral:tRNA from 1 species